rnacentral:rRNA from 1 species
UGGGGAAUAUUGCACAAUGGGCGCAAGCCUGAUGCAGCCAUGCCGCGUGUAUGAAGAAGGCCUUCGGGUUGUAAAGUACUUUCAGCGGGGAGGAAGGCGAUAAGGUUAAUAACCUUGUCGAUUGACGUUACCCGCAGAAGAAGCACCGGCUAACUCGGUGCCAGCGGCCGCGGUAAUACGGGGGGGGCAAGCGUUAAUCGGAAUUACUGGGCGUAAAGCGCACGCAGGCGGUCUGUCAAGUCGGAUGUGAAAUCCCCGGGCUCAACCUGGGAACUGCAUUCGAAACUGGCAGGCUAGAGUCUUGUAGAGGGGGGUAGAAUUCCAGGUGUAGCGGUGAAAUGCGUAGAGAUCUGGAGGAAUACCGGUGGCGAAGGCGGCCCCCUGGACAAAGACUGACGCUCAGGUGCGAAAGCGUGGGGAGCAAACA